rnacentral:rRNA from 1 species
GCAUAAUAGUUUGCCUUUUAAUUGGAGGCUGGUAUGAAUGGAUAUACGAGGUUAAAGCUGUCUCGAUCUAAAUUUUAAAAAUUGGUAUUCAGGUGAAGAGACCUGAAUUAUUAUGAAGGACAAAAAGACCCUAUUGAGCUUUAUUUUUAUAAGAAUCUCAGUGAUUUUUACAUUUUUACUUUAAAAAAUUUGGUUGGGGCAACAAAGGAAUAUAAAUAUCUUCCUUAAAAUUUUAGAGUUAUUUCUCUUUUCAAAGAUCUAUUUUAAAUAAUAAGAAGAAAGAGUUACCAUAGGGAUAACAGGCUAAUUCUCUUGGAGAGUUCAUAUUGAUAAGGGAGUUUGGCACCUCGAUGUUGGCUUAGAGUAUCCUAUAGGUGCAGCAGUCUAUAAGGGUUGGUUUGUUCAACCAUUAAAAUUCUA